CCCUUUUUGGCUUUUUACUGCUACUCAACCCCAAAAUCCCUAAAUCGUAAAUCCCUCCAGCACCAGCAGCCUCUGCUCCGUCCUCUCCACUGCUCCAGCGUCCAGCCGAGCCUUCUUCUACUGCUUCCGUCCAGCUUACUGCCUCCGUCGUGAAGAGUGAAGACCCAGCCUACUGCUCCAGCUCCAGCGUCCAGCCAGCCUACUGCUCCAUUUCACUUUAUGUUGUUGUUUAUAUAUUUUUGUGUCCAGCCGAAACACUUCUGGUUUCUCAAUUCAGCCUCAGCCAUUUCAGAAAACAGAUUUGUGCUAUUUCGAGAGGCGAGAUCUAUCUGUUCAACUCUUUAAAGUUCAAGCCGGUGCCGGUUGGCAGUGAUAGGAGAUGGGGAUCGAAAGAGUACGUAGUGAUAGGAGAUUGCACAGAGCCUACUUUUAGUACCUGUGGUAGAAUUGUAAGCCCAUAUCGUAACGAACUUAAUCCAAAGAUGAUAGAGGCUUUGAUGUGCGCUCAAAAUUGGAUUGCAACUGAAGUUUUGACAGGUAUUAGCACGAGAAAAAAAAUGGUUACACAACUGUUUUAGAAGAUGCAGAUGAUUCUGAUGAUGAAGAUGGCGUGGUGACUAAGGAAUGAAUACAACUAAGGAUGGGAGAUUGUGAAGUCGUUGAAGAGAGAAUGACGAGUUUUAUUGAAUUUUAAGUUGUAUACUUAUUUGAAUAUAUAAGACGUUUGUCUUUAAUUGACUUCCUUAUACAAAUUUUAUUGAAUUUUAAGUUGUAAAGUUAUCUAAUGGAUUUGUUAGCUUUUAAAUUGUCAA